rnacentral:lncRNA from 1 species
GUGGUCCUCGGCGGCGACCGCGCUGCGACAGCCGAGCCCCGGGAGCCGCGAACCUGGGCGCGCACAGCCCGCGCCCCAACUCCGCGUCCUGCGUUCCCGCCCGCCGGAGGAGCCGCGUGACCUCGAGUACCUUCCUUGUCCCCUCCGAGCCUCAGUUUCCCCACCGUGCACAGUGGAACCCACCCUCUUGGCGUCACCUGGGGAGUCGAAAAUACUGAAAUCCUGCGAAAUUCCCUGUUGCGGGGCAGUUAAUCUUGGAAAAUAUGUGCCUUCCCCCACUCAAUAAAACCAGGCCACUAGAUUUGAGAGGGGCCCGCGUCUGACUGCGAACCCAGGGCCCUCGCCCCUACGAGACGGAGAAUCGACGUCCAAGAAUCCCCGGGGUCAGGAGGAAGGUGUGAGGCUGUAGGUGCAGAAAUGGGGCAAGAGAUGAAAGGAAAAGGGGCGCUGCUGUUUGCCUUAACGAUUAGCUGGAUACCCGAGAGAGAGCGAAACGUUUUCUUCUAGCAGGACAAUUGGGAGGGAAGGACGCUGGCCCAUGGGGGUUAAAACCCGCGAGUCGAAUUCCACUGCUUACAUUCAUUCACUAUGAGGGAGACAACUUUGUGCUGGUGCUUCAAGUACAUGAUGUCAUUUGGUGCUCAGACGGCCCCUGGGCUGCCUGCAUCCCCCUUACAGUGAGGAUCUCUCAUGAUCAGCUCCCUCCAGGAGGCCUAGAGAGGAGUAGCCACUGCAAGAACCCCUGCCUCCUCCGUUAUCCCGGCUGCUUCUCGUCCCCUCAAUAUGGAUAGACCAGGAACUGGGAUCCCAUGAAAUAAUGGAGACCAGGAGGCUAGGCCCCCUGCAGAAGGCCCCACUCCCAGAAACCAGGAUUUAAGGGAUCUCGCCCAGGCAUUGGUCUAUUUUAGAAAUGCCCCAGGGAUUCCAUUAACUCUCAGGGAUUCCACGUGUUGUUAUACGGAACAAAGGUUAGAAUUUGAGGCAUUUCCAUUUUAUCUGGAAUUGGUAUCAGGUUGAACCAUACAAAAUUGCCGUUUUUGUAAAAGGGCCAAAGUUGUCACAUGUCAGCUCUUUCAUAUGCUUCAACUUAAUAGUUGCAGAUGAUGACACCUCUAGGCUUUGUCUAGAGUAGGGGCACUUUCCCAUCCCAUGUCCCCAGUAGCUCACACCAAAGGCCCCCAGCAGACACUUGAUGACAGCUGGUCCCUCCUCCUGGAAUAGCAUCCCCAACAGAACAUCCUUUCUGAAACCUUUCUGGCUCCUUCUGGCACAGCUCGUUGCUUUCUCCCCAGUCCCAGUCUUCCGUGAAAAUUCAUACCCACCACUCUGUAGCCUCAUUUUCUGUUCAUUUGCCUUCCUCCCCUCUUUGAGCUGAAGCCCUCAGAGGGCAGCACUGGCUCUGAAAAGAUGGCAUGGCCCAACCUCUGUCACUGACUUGAGAAAGCACCUUCUUCUAUCCACUAGUCCCCUGCUUAUCCCCAAAUAGGAGCAAAGUCUGCAAGAUUUUUCUUUUCAAGUGUUAAGAUUGAAGUGAAGAUUUUCUUGUUAACUGGUGUGGUAUAUUUUUGGAUCCUAACAAUUUAUUAAAGAAAAGCUGAAUAAUAUCCAAAAAGGAUCAAACUACAUGAAAAUGAAAAAGUAUGAUAAAGUUAAUCUGGGUGCAAAGUUUACAAAUAAAUGGCACCUUCUUUUACCUGUUUUGGCUCUCAACUUUGUCCUCACUCAAAAAAUGACAUUCAGACAGGUGCAGUGGCUCAUGCCUGUAAUCUCCGCACUUUGGGAGGCCAAGGCAGGGGGAUCACUUGAGUCCAGGAACAUGAGAGCAGCCUGAGCAACAUAAGGAAGCCUCAUCUCAACAAAAAUUUAAAAAUUAGCUGAAAGUGAUGGUACAUAUCUUUAGUCCCAGCGGCAAAUGAGUUUUAAGGGAGGCUAAAGUGGGAGGAUUACUUGAGCCCAGGAGUUUGAGGCUGCAGUGAACCAUGAUCUUACACUCCAGCCUGGGUGACUUCUCUUUUAAUAAGAGUCUGUCUCUUUAAGAAAAAAAAGAAAAUCAUUGGCAAGAUUGGCAGCAACUGCUUUCAAACGAGGUUAUAAGGAUUCAGAUUAGGCUUUGGACGGAAAGAGGUUCAGUCAUAGGUGCAGUACCCUUUGCUUACUGUCACACAUGCUUGUCCUAAUAUGAAGUCCUAAUAAAGUAUCCAGGGAUACAUGGUGUGGUGUGGUUUACAUGUCAUUCUCAUGUCUGUAGUUCUCAUUGAUGCUCCAUGGCAUCUUGGAAGGCAGAUUUUAUCACCCUCAUUUUGUUGAUGAAGAAGCAGAGACCUAGACAUGCUCUGGAGCUGGCCCCAAGGCA